UUCUCCUGUUGCAUGGCAUAGGACAAACACAUUAUUAACAGGAAGAGAUAAUUUGCGCCAUGGACAACAAAAGACAGUGGAAAGGAGUAUUAAGAGGAUGCAGGGCCUCUCACAUGGGUUUGAUUGAUGACUUCAGAGAGUUUCCUGCCUGUAGGCGCUGCCAUGGUCGGAGCUCUCAACGUGUCUCUUGAGGUCGUUGGUUUCCACUCGGUUGGCGGCAAAAUCCGCGGACGAGACAAACACGUUGAGAGCUGUUGAGCCGCACUCGAGCUUCCCUCUAUUUUGGAUCAUUAUUUUCUUUUCCGGGUUCGGAUCAGGUUAUAUGGGUUCCGGUUGUAUUUUUCGCACCAAAGAAUGAUUAAUCUUCUUUCAUGAUUAUGA